GUCGGAGUGGUGGAAUCGGCAGACACGUGCGCUUGAGGGGCGUAUCCGCGAGGGUGAGGGUUCAAGUCCCUCCUCCGACACCA
rnacentral:tRNA from 1 species